UUAAUACACUAUACAUAGACUGGGUUUUUCCAAUGGGUAAUUUUUAUAGAACCCCCUUGAUCUAGUGUUAUACAGUUCUGUUUGUCUUUAGUAAGAACUUAGUGGAACUCUAGAGGAAGAAAGUUGUAAGCACACGCAGAAUGGCCACCCCAAUAUCAACCGUUACCCACAAUACCUACAUGUAUACUCUACAUGCCCAUGGUGAUUGUCAAGCUGUACAGAUUGGAAAAUCAAACACAAUAAAUGAAACUAGUAACCAGACCGACCUGGAUGAUCUUACUUCCGAGAUGGAAGAUUUCCGGUUUAAAUUUAAUCGGAUAAAUGAACAAUUCGAAAGAAAGGAUGAAGAAAUAGCUGAAUUGAAAAAAAGAGUUGCUGACCUGGAAGCAUUUAAGAAGAAAGUAGAACAAUCAGAAGUCAAGACAAACACCAACACUAAUACUAGACGUUAUAUCAGGGAUACGAGUAAUGAUAUUACUCUAAAGUUAUAUGACGAAUGUAGAUAUAAAGAUAUGGGUACUAUAACUGUCAGUAAGAAAGUCAGUGUUAAUGAUUUAAUGAAGUUGAUAGAAGAGAAGAAGAAUAAGAAGAUUAGUCUGAUUGGUAUAGAGGGAUAUAGACAUGGUAGUAUGAGAUUUAUCUACGACUGUGAAAGCAACAAAAACGACUAUAGCCUGGAACAACUUGGUGUUGUAGACCAGGACCAGGUUCUGUACUAUUGGUAGUAAAAUAUAGUGAUUAUAUUGAUUUGAUGGAUUCAACACCCUUUUUCCUUUUGUUUUAUAAUGGUUGAUCUGGAUUGGCGGUGAGGUUGGGUGGGGUGGGAGAGUGGGUGAGUGUUUAAACCAGAAGAUGUAUAUAAUUUAUGUAUAAUGAAUUAACAAUGUUUUAUAUUUUAUAAUUUUGUUUCAAUAAAAUAUUUUAUAACUAA